rnacentral:rRNA from 1 species
CCUACGGGAGGCAGCAGUGGGGAAUUUUGGACAAUGGGCGCAAGCCUGAUCCAGCAAUGCCGCGUGAGUGAAGAAGGCCUUCGGGUUGUAAAGCUCUUUUGUCAGGGAAGAAACGGUGAAGGCUAAUAUCCUUUGCUAAUGACGGUACCUGAAGAAUAAGCACCGGCUAACUACGUGCCAGCAGCCGCGGUAAUACGUAGGGUGCAAGCGUUAAUCGGAAUUACUGGGCGUAAAGCGUGCGCAGGCGGUUUUGUAAGUUUGUCGUGAAAUCCCCGGGCUCAACCUGGGAAUGGCGAUGAAGACUGCAAGGCUAGAAUCUGGCAGAGGGGGGUAGAAUUCCACGUGUAGCAGUGAAAUGCGUAGAGAUGUGGAGGAACACCGAUGGCGAAGGCAGCCCCCUGGGUCAAGAUUGACGCUCAUGCACGAAAGCGUGGGGAGCAAACAGGAUUAGAUACCCUGGUAGUCCACGCCCUAAACGAUGUCUACUAGUUGUCGGGUUUUAAUAACUUGGUAACGCAGCUAACGCGUGAAGUAGACCGCCUGGGGAUACGGUCGCAAGNUUAAAACUCAAAAGUAGUAGACGCGNGNGAGAGCGACGACGACGACGACGAGGAGGAGG